AGGUGGAUGGUGUUUGAAGUGAAUUGAAUUAGGGGACACCCAGCUGGCAUCUGCUGCAGAACUGAUGACUCGCUUGCUGGUGGGCAGAAAUCUCCAUAAUCUUUCUUUAGCAGAUGAGGUCACUGAGGCUCAGAGAGGCUGAAGCCACUUGCUCAGAGCCGCACAGCAAGUCCACCACCCUGAACCUCCAGAUUCCCAACUCAGCAUUGUGUCCUGACAGUGUCAUCAUAGACGGUCAACACUGUCACCUGGGCAGCACUGAAGCCCAGAGCGGGAGAGACUGGCUCAAGACCAUGGGUAAGUCAGCAGCAAAGCUGGGGAAAGGAAACCACCAACCUGAGAGCCCCUGGCUGGUU
rnacentral:lncRNA from 1 species